GUCCACGCCGUAAACUAUGGAUGCUAGCUGUUAUGAGUAUCGACCCUCGUAGUAGCGAAGCUAACGCGUUAAGCAUCCCGCCUGUGGAGUACGAGCGCAAGCUUAAAACAUAAAGGAAUUGACGGGGACCCCGCACAAGCGGUGGAGCGUGUUGUUUAAUUCGAUGCUAAGCGAAGAACCUUACCCAGGCUUGACAUCCUUGGAAUUUCUCCGAAAGGAGAGAGUGCUUUAUUGAGCCAAGUGACAGGUGCUGCAUGGCCGUCGU
rnacentral:rRNA from 1 species